rnacentral:rRNA from 1 species
UACGGGGGGGGCAAGCGUUGUUCGGAUUUACUGGGCGUAAAGGGCGCGUAGGCGGCGCGACAAGUCACUUGUGAAAUCUCCGGGCUUAACCCGGAGCGGCCAAGUGAUACUGUCGUGCUGGAGUGCGGAAGGGGCCACCGGAAUUCUCGGUGUAGCGGUGAAAUGCGCAGAUAUCAGGAGGAACACCGGUGGCGAAGGCGGGUCUCUGGGCCGAUACUGACGCUGAGGAGCGAAAGCGUGGGGAGCGAACAGG